rnacentral:rRNA from 1 species
UACCCAGACUCCUACGGGAGGCAGCAGUGGGGGAUAUUGCACAAUGGGGGAAACCCUGAUGCAGCGACGCCGCGUGAGUGAAGAAGUAUUUCGGUCUGUAAAGCUCUAUCAGCAGGGAAGAAAAAAGACGGUACCUGACUAAGAAGCCCCGGCUAACUACGUGCCAGCAGCCGCGGUAAUACGUAGGGGGCAAGCGUUAUCCGGAUUUACUGGGUGUAAAGGGAGCGUAGACGGCAAUACAAGUCGGAAGUGAAAUACCCGGGCUCAACCUGGGAACUGCUUUGGAAACUGUAUGGCUAGAGUGCUGGAGAGGUAAGCGGAAUUCCUAGUGUAGCGGUGAAAUGCGUAGAUAUCAGGAGGAACACCGGCGGCGAAGGCGGCCUGCUGGACCGCGACUGACGUUGAGGCUCGAAAGCGUGGGAGCGAACAGGAUUAGAUACCCCCGUAGGU